GAUGAAGAACUUAGCGAAAUGUGAUACGUAAUGUGAAUUGCAAAUUCAGUGAAUCAUCGAGUCUUUGAACGCACAUUGCGCCCCCUGGUAUUCCGGGGGGCAUGCCUGUCCGAGCGUCAUUGCUGCCCUCAAGCACGGCUUGUGUGUUGGGCCCCGUCCUCCGAUCCCGGGGGACGGGCCCGAAAGGCAGCGGCGGCACCGCGUCCGGUCCUCGAGCGUAUGGGGCUUUGUCACCCGCUCUGUAGGCCCGGCCGGCGCUUGCCGAUCAACCCAAAUUUUUAUCCAGGUUGACCUCGGAUCAGGUAGGGAUACCCGCUGAACUUAAGCAUAUCAAUAAGCGGAGGA
rnacentral:misc_RNA from 1 species